GAUCCCCGGGAUCCUCGUGCCACCGCAUCACCAGAUCCCAGGGAUCCUCGUGCCACGGCAUCACCAGAUCCCAGGGAUCCUCGUGCCACAGCAUCACCAGAUCCCAGGAAUCCCUGUGCCACGGCAUCACCAGAUCCCCGGGAUCCUCGUGCCACAGCAUCACCAGAUCCUGGAGAUCCCUGUGCCAUGGCAUCAGUGGAUCCUAGGGAUCCUCGUGCCACGGCAUCACCAGAUCCUGGAGAUCCCCGUGCCAUGGCAUCAGUGGAUCCUAGGGAUCCUCAUGGCAUGGCACCACCGGAUCCUAGGGAUCCUCGUGCCACGGCAUCACCAGAUCCUGGGGAUCCCCGUGCCACGGCACCACUGGAUCCUGGGGAUCCUUGUGCUGUUGCACCACUGGAUCUUAGGGAUCCUCGUGCUGUUGCACCACUGGAUCUUAGGGAUCCCCAUGCCACUGCACUACUGGAUCCUAGGGAUCCCUGUGCCUUGGCACCACCAGAUCCUAGGGAUCCCCGUGCCACAGCAGCACCAGAUCCCAUGCAUCCCCGUGCCACAGCAGCACCAGAUCCUAGGGAUCCUCGUGCCAUGGCAUCACCAGAUCCUAGGGAUCCCCGUGCCACAGCACCACCAGAUCCCAGGGAUCCCCUGUCCCCAGCACCACCGGAUCCCACGGAUCCCCCCAGCACAGCUCUGCAGAAUCCAGCCGUUUCCCUUCACUCCCCAGAUCCCAAAGAUCCCCACGCCUCCGCACCGCUGGAUUUCGGGGAUCCCGAUGACGAAACCCCACCGGAUCCCAACCAACCUCACACCAAACCUCCGGAUCCCGACCCCCCCUUCCCUCCCCCACCUCCCCGCCGUCUCCUCCUCUUCCUCCUCUCCCAUUCCUUCCUCCUGACCCCAGCAGCCCAAGCUCAGCUCCUUUGGAAUCUGGGGGGCACCGAAAACCCUUCGCCCCCCCCUCCGACCCCAUCCCCAAUUCCAAACCAUCUGCUGCCCACCGUAGAGCCAGCGUUGCUUCAUUCCAUCCUCCGGGGGUCCCGGGGGGGGGGAGGGGGAGGAAAUGGGGGUCGUCACCCCAUCCUUCCUUCCUUCCAACGCCGUUUGGUUUCUUUAACCCAACACCCCGCCCUUCAUCCUUCCCUGCGCCUCUUCUUCCUCUUCUGCCUCUCUAACCCCCCCGUGCCCCCCCUCCCCCCCGAUUUAGCGUCCAACCUCUUCCCCAAUUUCGCCGACCCCCCCGAAUUUCUCUUGCCCCGUUUCGAGCUGGCGGCUUCUUCUUGUUUUGACGGUGAUGAUGAUGAUGGUGAUGGUGAUG
rnacentral:lncRNA from 1 species